rnacentral:rRNA from 2 species
UACAUGCAAGUCGAACGAACUCUGGUAUUGAUUGGUGCUUGCAUCAUGAUUUACAUUUGAGUGAGUGGCGAACUGGUGAGUAACACGUGGGAAACCUGCCCAGAAGCGGGGGAUAACACCUGGAAACAGAUGCUAAUACCGCUUAACACCUUGGGCCGCAUGGUCCGAGUUUGAAAGAUGGCUUCGGCUAUCACUUUUGGAUGGUCCCGCGGCGUAUUAGCUAGAUGGUGGGGUAACGGCUCACCAUGGCAAUGAUACGUAGCCGACCUGAGAGGGUAAUCGGCCACAUUGGGACUGAGACACGGCCCAAACUCCUACGGGAGGCAGGAAAGGGAAUCUUCCACAAUGGACGAAAGUCUGAUGGAGCAACGCCGCGUGAGUGAAGAAGGGUUUCGGCUCGUAAAACUCUGUUGUUAAAGAAGAACAUAUCUGAGAGUAACUGUUCAGGUAUUGACGGUAUUUAACCAGAAAGCCACGGCUAACUACGUGCCAGCAGCCGCGGUAAUACGUAGGUGGCAAGCGUUGUCCGGAUUUAUUGGGCGUAAAGCGAGCGCAGGCGGUUUUUUAAGUCUGAUGUGAAAGCCUUCGGCUCAACCGAAGAAGUGCAUCGGAAACUGGGAAACUUGANUGCAGAAAAGGACAGUGGAACUCCAUGUGUAGCGGUGAAAUGCGUAGAUAUAUGGAAGAACACCAAUGGCGAAUGCGGCUGUCUGGUCUGUAACUGACGCUGAGGCUCGAAAGUAUGGGUAGCAAACAGGAUUAGAUACCCUGGUAGUCCAUACCGUAAACGAUGAAUGCUAAGUGUUGGAGGGUUUCCGCCCUCUCAGUGCUGCAGCUAACGCAUUAAGCCAUUCCGCCUGACGGAGUACGGGCCG